UCCACCGUCGCCGGAAUGGCCUACUUCAUCGUCGCCGACAAGACCAUCGUUUCCAUGGCCAGGAAGCACUCCUACGAGGACGCGCCGGACCACCUCAAGAACACCUCCUUCAACUAGUUAGACAGUAGAUCCAUUAGUAGUAAAUAGUGCGAAAUAAACUGCACGCCGGCCUGCAACUACAAGUGUCUGCGGAUUCAACUAGGGAGGCGAUCAGGCGAGGCUUGCAGGCCUACUGCUCUUCUCUGCGUGCGAGAACUUAUCUGAUGAAGUAAUCAUCAUGUAUCCAGCCAGUCAUCUUGAAUUAAUAAUAACUUGCAUUUGUACAACUCAGGUUUACCCAUCAUCACCCAUCUUACAUUUUCUUGUUUGUGGUUAUCAUUUGACAUGUGCCAGUGUCAGAGCAUGCAGAACACUGAAGUAAGGCCAACUCCACCGCGUGACCCAUCUGUGACCCAUCCGGACGUCCGAUUUUGUCCGUAUGGGUAGCGAAAAAGCGGACGUCCGGCCCCCGGACAGUGCUCGAACGCAUCCGCGCCCAGCGCGUCCAGGACCCAAACAUGUCCGUCCCGCCCAGCUUCGUCGCCUCCUCCUGCAGGACCAGCCCGCGCCCUGGUGGCCGGCGCCGCACGCACCCCGCCCGGCCUGCGCCCCGGGGGCUGGCGCCGCNNNNNNNNNNNNNNNNNNNNNNNNNNNNNNNNNNNNNNNNNNNNNNNNNNNNNNNNNNNNNNNNNNNNNNNNNNNNNNNNNNNNNNNNNNNNNNNNNNNNNNNNNNNNNNNNNNNNNNNNNNNNNNNNNNNNNNNNNNNNNNNNNNNNNNNNNNNNNNNNNNNNNNNNNNNNNNNNNNNNNNNNNNNNNNNNNNNNNNNNNNNNNNNNNNNNNNNNNNNNNNNNNNNNNNNNNNNNNNNNNNNNNNNNNNNNNNNNNNNNNNNNNNNNNNNNNNNNNNNNNNNNNNNNNNNNNNNNNNNNNNNNNNNNNNNNNNNNNNNNNNNNNNNNNNNNNNNNNNNNNNNNNNNNNNNNNNNNNNNNNNNNNNNNNNNNNNNNNNNNNNNNNNNNNNNNNNNNNNNNNNNNNNNNNNNNNNNNNNNNNNNNNNNNNNNNNNNNNNNNNNNNNNNNNNNNNNNNNNNNNNNNNNNNNNNNNNNNNNNNNNNNNNNNNNNNNNNNNNNNNNNNNNNNNNNNNNNNNNNNNNNNNNNNNNNNNNNNNNNNNNNNNNNNNNNNNNNNNNNNNNNNNNNNNNNNNNNNNNNNNNNNNNNNNNNNNNNNNNCCGAGCGGGGCGCUGCUGCUGCAGAUCCUGAACAUGGGGGGCGUGCCUCAUCCGCGAGCACGGCGGCGGGCGCAGGGCGAUGGCGGGCGCGGGGCGACGGCGGGCGCGGCGGCGGGCGCGGGGCGUGCGACGGCGGACACGGCGGGCGGCCGGCAGCCGACGAGGGAGCAACGAGAGCAACGAGGUCGGGAGUGGCUCGGUGUGGGUCGCUGACCUGUGGGCCAGUGGCGGACACGAGCGGACGAGAGAGGCCGAGGAGCGCGUCCGUCUGUGUCCAUUCAGACCCAUUUGUGACCCAACUUUGGUCUAGAUUUGGGGUUGGGCCGGACUGAAACGGACACCAGCGGACAACUUUGUCCGUUUGAAUAUUACCGCUGGGUCGUAUUUUACCUCAAACGGACAAAAGCGGACCGGAUGGGUCACGGAUGGAUCGUGCGGUGGAGUUGGCCUAACUCUGCAUUCUUUGACCCCCUAAUCCUCCCCUGUUUCGCAAUGCACAUCGGGUUCAAGCCACCUCACUUGUUAAAUCUUUUGAUCAGGUUUAAUGGAUGCCAUGGCAAAUAUGGGAAGUUUUUAAAGAAACAAGGAAAAUAACCCUUAGAGCAGACGUGCAUCUAUAUCAUAGUUUUAAAUAGCCGGCUAUAGCCUUUUUAGCAAGAUGCCGCUAAAUAGCCGCCUUCACAAAUAGCCCGCUAUAGUCUGCUAUAGCCUGCUAUAACUCUGCUAUAGCUGAUUUGAAGGCCCGCCGUUAUUUUUUGUAGCCCGCUAUUUAAAACAUUGAUCUAUAUCUAUACCAAUACAAAAAGACCCAAGGGGCAUAUCCAAUUAAUAUCGGCCAUCAAAUCAUGUCAAUCCAACGACAUAUACUGCUUUAAUGUCGAGCGCUCAACAAGUUUAGCGUGCAGUUAAUUUCAUGCCAAAUAUAGUGCUAAUCACAUAAUAACACAUAAAUAAUAUCCUACUUAAUAUCCACAUGCGCUUAAUAUACUUCCAAAUUAACGUACAUGCACAUUGACUAGUUUUAAACAAAGGAAAGAACAACAAUCCCUCUUGUGCCUUAAGCACGGAUCAUGUACCUCCACUACCACCCCCACGAUCUAGAAUAAGGGUUUGCGCAUAGGACAAAAAUGUUUCAUGGAUAAUCCGGUCACGAUUUUUUCAGCCAGACGGGCCUCUCAAACGACCCUCAAACGCCCAGGAUGAUUGGCACCCCCAUAUCUAGCCCAAAUAUGGGGCGGAUAUGGAGGCAUCCGGGCCCGCCACCCAUGCCAGACCCGGCCCAUGCUGGCCCACCCAACCCUAAAAUCUUCCCCAUCCGCUUGUCGGACCAAUCCCUAGCCACUUCACUCCUCUCCCCUCCGCCACCCAAGCUUGCCUCAGGCUCCUUUCGGUCGUCUCCGGCAUGGUGGGCAGCGGAUCCAAGUCCUUCACCUCCAAAUCCGUCGACCCCGAGCUCAUCCCGCGCGGCCCUGAGGAGGAGAUGGCCGUCCGGCUUGCGCUUUGCCGGGCCCGGGAGGAGGCCCGUGGACGGCUGCUCGGACUCCAUUCGUCGGGAAUCCAUUGCCUCUGCCCAAAUGGGGCAUGGAUCCGACGCUAGGCCGGCCGUAGCUGCCUCUCCGGAGGCCGUAUGUGCGAUCCGUCUGGCAUCCGAAUGCGCUGGAGGACGUGCAACCCCUCCGAUAUUGGGGACGCACCUUCGUCCCAUGAGUCCACGACAGUGCAUGCACGCCGUGCAAGGCACCGGGCACGGGAGGCGGCGACAACCCUCGUGGCGGCGGACGUCGGCGAGGCGGAGUCGCAUUCUUCGGCUCCCCAUAUGGCGCAUUAGUUCGGGCGCCGCAACAACAUCGUGGUGGACAUCGGUGGCUUGUUCCUGGACGGAUCCAUCAUCGAUCUGACAUCCACCGGCACCAUUCGAGUUUCGGUCUCCGACGAGGAAGAGUAGGGCAUGGGAGAUGGCGGGGCCUUGAGCCCCAUGAGCCAACUCGUGUCCCAUGCCCUACCCUACCUUGCUGGCGACCGGACCAACACACUAAGGAGCGCAGCCGACCGCCAGACAUGGCCAGGGCGGAGCCGGGCGAGCGGGGAGCGGAACCUGAAGAGAUAUGCGUAGAUUAGGUUUCAUGUUGCAUGUGAUAAUAUGAAUUUGAGGUUUCCAAAUGCGGAAUUCGUUUUUCAAGGGGUGACCGGUCACUGACGCGGGGGUCGGAUUUGUCAAGCCCGGUUGUAGAUGCUCUUAGGGCAUCUCCAACACAGACCAACAAAUUUCUCCAGCAUAUGUUCAUUUGUAUGUCCGAAUGUGGUAUGUGGACAUGAUGCGGGAGGGAGUCAUCUAAUGAUAAUCACAAAGUAUCCAGUUGGGACGAGAAAAAAGUAGGUGGGAUCAUGCAUGUAGUGGGAUAUUUGUGUUUUGAAGUCCAGUUAGGAGGAGAGAGAAGAGGGAGGCCAUGCAUGUGCGGUUGGAAGGAGAGAGAUAAGAGGGUGACCAUGCAUGUGGUUGGUCAAGUGCAGGUCCGGACUCCACCAAAGCCCCCCAUGUUUGUCUCUGGGAUACUAGAAUCCGUACGCCCAAACUGCUAAGCAGACAUAUAUAGGUCCUCGUUGGAUGGCAAAAGUGGUCCAAACACUCCGAUCUGGACAUGUAGUGAAGGUUUGAGUGUCCACCUUAAAGAUACCCUUAAUAGAGCAACCGUGCACCAGCGACCCUAUCCCAGUUUAGAACUAUCUUCCCUUUGAUCAAUCCUUUGAAGUUCAGAAUGUGCUUGAGUUCCAUCUCCAUUUUCUCAUGGAUGUUGACAUCAUCAUCAACACAGCAUGUUCGUAGUCCGAUUUUGAUGAACUAAUGAACUCUUUUUGAAUGAAUUCAUCAACCUCCUGGUCUGUAUACUCCUCAUCCUACCAGACUGACAAAUCCAUCAUUUUGCCUAUAAAAGAAUCCAAAAAAACUGCUUAGCCAUUAUUGAACACAUUGAGGGCAAAGGUGUAUGACUGGAGGAGCGGGACAUAAAUCGCGGGGGCGAAAAUGGCAGGGAGGAGUUUUGUGGUGGUGAUGGUGAUGUCAACACUGUGGGGUCAUAAUGGUGGCGAAGCUGGGGUGGUGAUGAAGCUAGGGAAGGGACGUUGUUGACGAGGGAGAAAAGAGAAGACAAAAAUGGUAGGCCUACCUAGGCCGAGGUGAUUUGAUGAAAUUUUGUGGUGGGUCUUGUUUGUCGGAUCCGACGUGGCGGACAUGUCAGAGCCUCCCCAUAACCGUUUCAGAUAUGGGCUAGAUAUGAUGGGUGCCGGUUGGCACGGAUGUAUGGUUGAGGGAGCCGGUUGGGUUGUUAUUUCUUGAACCCGUCCGCUAGACAUACAAAUCCGAUAUAAAGGGUAUGAUACAAAGCCAAUAUGAAGGAUCUGGUUGUAGAUGCUCUAAGCAUUGAACACGAAGGUCUCGCAUUCACUAAGCUGCGCAAAGGCAACCACUGCAAUGUUAGUGUAUUCUUAGUUAAAGGCAUCUUCAAUGUUGACCCACAAAUUUUCUCCCGCAUCCAUCUCGAGACAGAGGAACUAGUCCGUGGACACGGAUGCAGGAGCCACAUACAUUUCAAGCCGGAUUUUCACAAACCGGACGACAUUCAUCAAAUCCGACGGAAUUAAUCAAAGUUCAGAUAGAAAAUAGCGCAAGUGAUUCAUACAUAGCAUGCAAAUAAGCCUAGUACAACAGUAGUUCAAAUUCAACGAGCUUGACCGGAUGUUCAACAAGUUUUUCAUGAAUAGAUCAUGUCGUCACACAUACUGCGGCUUCAGCUUCAUCCAACAGUGUGGGUACGUAAAAGGUUGUCCCUCUAUCCUAUGGUACAUCAUGGCGGCACUUUCGGGACAAUGUAUAGACCAACAUUGAGUGAGCAAAUGAUUCAACCAACAAGUUGAGCAAGAAUGGCCAAUGGCCACAUUACGGUACGACCUCCUCCGCUGCUGAACCCAAUGGCCACAUUGCCUCUAGCCGAGUAACCGCGUCACAACACUUGGUGAUGGUAGUCUAGACGGCGUACCAUCGAUACGAUAACGACUGCACAUUGAGAUCAUGGAUGAUGUGUAUGCAUGUCAUAGGGCGCAAUGUGCUUUCGCGCGUGAAACGAAUCAUGCACGCGCUGCUAGAAGAUCCCUCUUCUACUCCAACUCCGUGCGUAUGGCCAACCACGCAUCGCACAACAACUCAUCCUCUAUGGUUGAGUACCCCCACUUUGCUUCCAAUUUGCGGGGAAAAGUGACUCCCGGCCGGUCAGCGGACCGAUACACGCAUUGGAUGGCAAAACACAUCCAAACCGCACAGUUCAAAUGUGUGCGGACGGUUUGAGGGUCGGUGUUGGAGAUGCCCUAAAAUGAGUAGUUAUGCCUAGCUCAAAUAAAUUUAAAUUGAGAUUUAAACUUCCUUUCAGAAUUUUGAGCGGUAUCCACUCGGUUUUAUUCGGUAGCCGCAUCUUUUGCCCCCUCUUGGCAUUUGUUCAUUAUAUUUGGUAGCCAUGACCUUGGCCGGGGUCGAGAUUCAUGAUGACGCGAGGUGUACGGUGGUUGUGCGAUCGGUUAUUUGAACGGGGGACCAACUUUAUAUUUCUCGGCAACCAAGGUGAUGAACGAAGACAACCAACAUGUAGUUGGAUGGUUAGGAGGAUAGGAAUAUUUUCAGCCCAUCAGGGUUCAAGUCAAUUUUCGGCGAUGUGUGUUCAGUGGAAGAAGACGUUCCAUGGUGACUUCGAGUGUAUGCUUGUAUAUUUGAGCGCUUAUAUCUAUAGUGUUUUAAAAAAAAGUUGAUCAACGAAGGAUUUGAAGCAAAGCAGUCGCGGAAUUGCGGAAUUGGAUUGCUGCCGGGUUGGACGAAAACAGGGAGCGCCCACACAGAUCUCCAACAAAACGGAGGGCACACUCACGCACAUGCCCCUACGUGUUAUCCUACGCACGAACACGCUCCUUGGCUCCCUGCCGUGCAGUGGUCAUCAAAAAGUAUCAGAGGCGAGUCACUUGGAUUAGUUUUUAUAUGCGGACCAAGGAGGCGGUGUCAUCUGUGCUCUGCCGCAGCGCAGCGCCGGCCAUCCCGCACGCCCGCCGCUCGUCUCAAAACCACGGUCUCGCUUCCCACCGUAUCAGCUCGCCUUCCUCUCCGCGCGCACGCCGGUUUCGCGGUUUCUUGCAGCCUAUAAAUCCGGCCGGAGCACCCAGCUCUGCACCAUCCCAUUUCACACAACCGCUACUCAUCUUACCUGACACACUUCACUUCCUUCGGAUCUCGUGCCACCAAGCUCUGCUCCCGCCAAGAUGUCGACGGUGACCCGCGCCUACCUCGACCAGAGGCUCGCCGCUGCCAAGCGCUGCUCCAGAGGUAACCAAAACGAUAUCAUGGCCUGGCGCGCCCGUUCACCAUGCCGGCAAUGCUCUUGCUGCUCUGUUCCAAGUACUACAUUGCAGCUUUGUGUAGUACUGUCUGUGCUGAAACUUGGUGUUGAUUAACAUCCCUGUGUUGGUUCGAAACUGCAGAGGCUGCCAUGGCCGGAGCCAAGGCCGCGGCCGUCGCCACCGUCGCCGCCGCAGUCCCCACCGUAAGUACACAUUGCUCAGCCGGCACAGCUAGUUGCAAGGACGAACAAUCAGCUCACCAAGUUCUUCGUCCGUUCCUUUCUCUGCAGCUGGCGAGCGUGAGGAUGCUGCCGUGGGCCAAGGCGAACCUCAACCCGACCGGGCAGGCGCUCAUCAUCUCCACGGUCGCCGGGAUGGCCUACUUCAUCGUCGCCGACAAGACCAUCCUGUCCAUGGCCAGGAAGCACUCCUUCGACGACGCGCCAGACCACCUCAAGAACACCUCCUUCCAGUAAUUACGCUAUAAUAGCUCCAUUAAUAGUGCGUAAUAAACCGUGUACGCCGGUCGGCCUGUACAUGUCUGCUGAUUCAGCUAGGGAGGCGAUCAGGCGAGGCUUGCAGACAGUGAGUGGUCUACUGCGCUUCUCUCCGAGCAAGCACUUAUCUGAUCAAGUAAUCAUCAUGUAUCCAACCAGUAAUUUUGAAUUCAUAAUGACUUGUAUUUGUACAACUCAGGUUUACCCACCAUCCUUGUUCGUGGUUGUCAUUUGACAUGUGGCCAGUGGCAGAUCCUGCACAAGACCGAAAUAACACUGCAUUCUUCGACCCCCUAUCCUCACUUCUUAAAUCUUUUGAUAAGGUUUAAUAUAUGGCGUGGCAAAUAUGGAAAGUAUUUAUAAAGAUAAAAAAGGAAAAUAAUCCUCAGAACACAUGUGCAUUUUAACAAAGGACAGAACGACAAUCCCUCUUGUGCCUGAAGCAUAGAUCAUGUACCUCCACUCCCACCCCCACGCGUUAGAAUAAGGGUUUCGCAUACGACAAAAAAUGUUUCAGGAAUGUUGAUCUGGUUUGAAAGUAGUACUAAUAGAGCACUCGUGCGCCAGCGACCCUAUCCCAGUUUAGAACUCUCUUCCCUUUGAUUAGACCUUUGAAGUUCAGAAUGUACUCCAAUUCCUCCUGGAUGUUGAUCAUCAUCAUCAACUUUGCAUCUUUGUUGUCCGAUUUUGAUGAGUCGAUGAAUUAUUUUUUAAUGAAUUCAUCAAGCUCCUAUUCAUUAUACUCAUCAUCCAACAAAUCAAUCGUUUUGCCUAUAAAAGAAUAAAAGAAACUGCUCGGACAUUAUUGAACGCAUAGAUGGCAAGGUGUAUGACGGGAGGAGCGGGACAUAUUGCGGCGACGAGGAUGGCAGGGAGGAGUUUUGUGGCGGUGAUGCUGUCGCUUUAGGGUCAGGACAGUGGCGAAGCUAGGGAAGGGCCAUCGUGGACGCUGGAGAAAAGAGGAGAGAAAAUGGGCAGGUCUAGCUAGGUUGAGGUGAUUUGAUGAAAUUUAUGGUGGGUCCUGUCUGCCGGAUUCGACGUGGAGGACACGUCUGAGCCUCCCCAUAUCCACCUCAGAUAUGGGUCGGAUAUGAGGGGUGCCGGUCGGCCCGGACGCAUAAGACUAAUUUGAGGAAGUCAGCUGACUUCCUGUUUCUUGAGCGGUCAGUGACUGAAUCAUCCGCCCAAACAUAUAAAGCCAAUAUAAAGGGUCCGGUUGUGGAUGCUCUAAGCAUUCAACACUAAGGUCUCGCUCUGCUGAGGUGUGCAAAGGCAAGCACCGCGAUGCUAGCGGAUUCCAACUAAAAUGAGUAUAGCACAAAUAAAUUUGUAUUUGAAAAUUUCGAACAGUGUCCAGUUGGUAUUUGUGGGUAAAUAUGUUUCUCGCCCCCUCUUGGUAUUUUUUUGGGUAUUGGCAAAACCUUGGUGAGGGUCGAGAUUCACGAUGAUGGGAGAUGUAUGGUGGUUGUGCAAGCGGUGACGGGGCUAGCUAGUGAAAACAUUUUACGUUAUUUGAAUAGGUGAUCAACUUUAUAUUUUUCCGGUGAUCAAUAAAAGAUUUGCAGGGUGAACCAACCUGUGAUUGGAUUGUUAGGAGAAUAAUGGUAUCUCCAGCCCAUUAAAGUUAAAGUCCUGGUGCUGGUAUUUAUCCUGAAUUUAUUUCAGGAUUAUCUAUGAUGCACGUUCAGUGUGAGGAGACGUUUCUGUCGAUUAUAAGGAUCGGAAGAUGAUAUGCCGCCCGGGUGUGCGUGUGUUCAUCUGGCGCCGGAGUGCGUUUGCGCGUCGAUAUGAACGCUUGCGUUUGCACUGUGUUAAAAUUUUUUUUUGCAGCAAACCGCUCGCGGAAUUGGAUUGCGGCCGGGUUGGCCAAAAAACAGGGAGCACCCAGACCAGACAGAUCGCCAACAAAACGGAGGGCACACUCACGCACAUGCUCCUACGAUGCAGCACCUACGCACGAACUGGGACACGCUCCCUGCCAACCCCGAUCGAUCCAUCCACGCCUUAUCUUUACCUAUACUAGUUGCAGUGCAGUGGUCAUCAAAAAGUAUCAGAAAAAGUAUCAGAGGCGAGUCACGUGGGAUGGUUUUUAUAUGCGGGCCAUCUGUGCUCUGCCGCGUCGCCGGCCAUCCUCUGAAACCCACGGUCUCGCUUCCCACCGUAUCAGCUCGCCUUCCUCUCCGCGCGCACGCCGGUUUCGCGGUUUCUUGCAGCCUAUAAAUCCCGCCGGACCACCUCGCUCUGCCCAUCUCAUCUCAUCUCACACACCACUACUCAUCUUACCUGACGCAGUUCACUGCUAGCCAAUUCACUUCUCGUACCACCAACCUCCCUCGCCAAGAUGUCGACGGUGACCCGCGCCUACCUCGACCAGAGGCUCGCCGCCGCCAAGCGCUGCUCCAAAGGUAACGGUUCCGGCCUCAGGCCAGCACCUGCUCUGCUCGUAUAUCCCACUCAUUGCAGGUCAUGUGUGUGCUGAAACUUGAUCUUGAUUAACAUUCCUAUCCGAAACUGCAGAAGCUACCAUGGCGGGAGCCAAGGCCGCGGCCGUCGCCACCGUCGCUGCCGCAGUCCCCACAGUAAGUAGCCAGCUAGCCAUUCAGUUCUUCCAUGGUUCAUAGCAUGUCUCAUGAGUGCGUUACCUGUCAUUUCAGCUGGCGAGCGUGAGGAUGCUGCCGUGGGCCAAGGCGCACCUGAACCCCACCGGGCAGGCCCUCAUCAUCUCCACUGUCGCUGGGAUGGCCUACUUCAUCGUCGCCGACAAGACCAUCCUCUCCAUGGCCAUGGCCAGGAGGCACUCCUUCGAGGACGCGCCGGAGCACCUCAAGAACACCUCCUUCCACUAGUUAGAUCCAUUAUUAGUAAUGCCCAAUGAACCGUGUAUGCCAAAGUGCAUAGCGUACAGUGAUCAGCAAAGGGAGGUCAUAAUAUAAUUUUCAUCAUGCAAGUAGCCAUGUACAGCAUCUUUUGAGCUAGCAAUACUGAAAGAUGUACCAGCAUUUGUUAACCAAUAUUUUCCAGCUACCGGCUAUUUUGAUGAGUCAGUCAGAUUAUAUAAAAAGUUAAGCAACCUCAAGCUGACGUUUAGUUUAAUCUUGUUGGCUCGCUGCCACCCACGUGACACAUCGACUUGAUCAGCGACAACAUAUAGUAAACCUCAGAUCCUAGUUUCUAGUUAGCAAAUUCAGCGACAGUGCCGUUUUGAUCCAAGGUGAUCCCAGAAAGAUGCCGAAAUUUCUCAGAGGGGGAUAUUUACACACCAUGCAUCAUGUCAAAAAUCAGUGUUACAUCUCCAUUGCUUGCUGCCACUGAUCUCCCCGGAAUAUAUAGUUGUUUAACUAUCAAUAACUCAGUCCACACAACUGAAUCGUCAUGUUCGUGUUCAAUUUGGCAAUUCCCCUGGCGAAUCACAUAUCUUGCUUUGUAUAUGCAUAUGUGAUGUAUAUAUAUGUUUUUCGGAAAUGUUAACGCCCACACGUGUGGGCGUUUACAUCUCGCCCACAAGCGUGGAUCCGCGUCCGUUUGUGAGCGCACGAAUCUUGGCAUGUUUUUAGUGCCACGUAGGACUGGCCUGGUGUGUGGGCGUUCAUCCGGUCGCCCACACGAUCGUUUCACCACACGGGAGGGGCUGGUGUGUGGGCGUUCAACAGUUCGCCCACACGCCACUUUCCAUGCACGCACAAGGGCUAGUAUGUGAGCAUUUAUCAUCUCGCCCACACGCCAUCUUCUCUUCCACACCCAAGCUGCUAGUUGCCAUAUGUUAUGCAACGCACAUGGCAACUGCCCUAGUGUGCUUUGUAAGCAGGUGUCAACUCUCUUUUUACCCGAGUUGACAUGUGUUUUGCAGGGUACACGGCAACUGCCUAGUGUGCACGUAAGCAGAUGACAACUCUCUCUUUACCGAGUUGCCAUGUGUUUUUGCAUGGUAUAUGGCAACUGCCCUAACGUGCACGUAAGCAGAUGACAAUUCUUCCUUUUUACAUGGCAACUGCCCUAGUAUGCUUGUGAGCACAUGGCAACUCUCUCAACUGCCUAGUGGUAGUAUGUGGCAACUCCUAAAGUUUUGAAAUCAUGACAACUACAAUAGACCAGACCAUACAUGGCAACUGUAGUUGAGCAACCAUGGCAACUGCAGUUGUCCGACAUGGCAACCGUAGUUCAGCGACAUGGCAACUGCCCUAACGUGCACGUAAGCAGAUGACAAUUCUUCCUUUUUACAUGGCAACUGCCCUAGUAUGCUUGUGAGCACAUGGCAACUCUCUCAACUGCCUAGUGGUAGUAUGUGGCAACUCCUAAAGUUUUGAAAUCAUGACAACUACAAUAGACCAGACCAUACAUGGCAAACUGCAGUUGAGCAACCAUGGCAACUGCAGUUGUCCGACAUGGCAACCGUAGUUCAGCGACAUGACAACUGCAGUUAAACGAACAUGGACGAGGGUCUGGACCAUGGCAACUGCGGGCGCGCGGUGACUUUCACGCUGGGCGUGCGGGACCACGAGGUACGAGGCCUGACAUACGGGGCGUAUGGGCGUUAUCUACUUCGCCCACACGCACGCGUGUGAGAGGGAUCGGGAGGGAAAAAAAGAUGUGUGUGGGCAUUACUUGUUUUGCCCACACGUAGAUAUGUGGACUGUUUUUCUUAUACACCACACAAAAUGUGUGGGCAGUCUCCCUAACGCCCACACGUGUGGCACUUAUCGGCGUCCAUGUUUUUUUCAUGUGUACUUACCUUAUACAUAAAUUGAAGUGAAUGGCAGACAUGAACAUGUGAUGUAUAUAUGUUUUUGUCAUGAACAUGAUGACAUUGGUGUGAAAGUGAUCACAAUUUAGUUUACCUAACUUUGUAAUAAAUCAGUGUAAAUAUUUGCACGACACCAAAAUUAUUUCCGAUCUCACCAAAAGAUCCGAAAUUUAUAAGAUUUAGAAUUUAUAUAGAACCAGUUAGUCUAAAAUUCUUUGGAUUUGAACAACGUUAGUCCAAUUAUGACACGGUUCCCAUAGAAGUCAUCUUUUGCUACAUAAUUUUCUUUUGCUAUUUCAUCUUUACAAGAAGGAUUGGACGCGCUUUGCUUUGCUGUUGUUGGAUUUCACAAAGAUAAUUUUUGGUUUGGCGUGGGAGAAAGAUGAUGGAGUGUUUUUUUAAUGUGGUUCUCAGUGAGAUUUGUUAGCGGUGUGAUUAUAUGUUAUUUUCUAAUCAACAAAUACUUAUGUGGGGAAGUCCCGGUCCAAUUUUUUAUACUUAUGUUGGCAAGUUUUUUGCGUUGGUAGCCUCAUGUAUUAUAUUGGUGCCAUGGUGUCACAUGCUGGUGCUUCUUUUUUUAGAUGGUGAGAGGUGCACAACACAUGAUUAGUGUGUUUUUACGAGCUGGUUGUUGUCAAUUAAUUUGAGAAAUCAUUAACCCCGUCAAAAUCAUGAAUCAAAAUCCAAAAUUAAAUACCUCAACCAAAUGAAAGAGCAUGUUCAGAAAUAGUUGACCUAAUCAAAAUCAUAAAUCAAAGUCAGAUUUUAAAACUUCAAUUCAGUAGGAGGGAUCCAAAAUUAAAGAGCAUAAAUGAUAGCUAGUAAAAAACCUUUACGUUAUUUGAACUAGACGAUACCCCGCGCGUUGCUACGUAACUUUGUUAAAAAAUGCAGAGAUAGUUGCUAGAAAAUAUUCACAUCCAAUGAAAAGGAAAUAUUAGUUUGAAAAUCAAUAAAAGAAAGUCUCCAAAAACAGAAUAUAAAUUUUGGAAUUACUGCUAAAAAUAUCAUUUCGAACAAACAGGUAAAGGAUGACUACCAUGCAUGCAUGAUGUGGCAACGUUAUAUGCAUAGAGUAAUGCAAAAAUUAUUGCAAUUUAUUAGUUCGCUUAUGUGGUAGAUUUUGCAUGGCUUAGUGGGAGAGAAGACUUAAAUGCAUGGUCUUGGUGAUGGUAGUCUGGAUGGCGUACCAUCGAUACGAUAACGACUGCACAUUGAGAUCAUGGAUGAUGUGCAUGUCAUGGGGAGCAAUGUGCUUUUGCGCGUGAAACGAAUCAUGCACGCGCUGCCAGAAGAUCCCUCUUCUGCUACAGCCUAUGAACUCCGUGGAUAUGGCCAACCACGCAUCGCACAACAACUCAUCCUCCAUGGUUGAGUACCCCCACCAUUCUUUGUGGACUAAAUAAACAAAAUGCCAUUCAAAAAUAAGCUCAAUUAUAUUUGACCAAACACCUGUCAGGCAUGGUGUCAGCCAUGGACGUCGUCGACGGGUCCUGGAUGGACGGCGCCAUUGUAAAAGGUGAGCGGGCGUGUCGGUGCUGCUUGCGUAUGUCUGGCAAUGCCUGUGUGGCGGCCGGAGAGGUACAACGACAACGUCGGAGAAGGAGGAAGCAAUGGGGAGAAGGGGCGGCUUGGAAGAAAAUGUGACCGGGAGGAGGGAGGGGGGUAGUGGCCGGGGAUUCGGAGCCCUACGUGCCUGCUGUCUGGACUCCCGCACCCUCCCCACUUUGCUUCCAAUUUGCGGGAAAAAGUGCCUCUGGACCGAUCGUGAGACCGAUACACGCAUUGGAUGGCAAAGCACAUCCGAACUCUGCAGUUCGAAUGUGUGCGGGCGGUUUGAGGGUCGGUGUUGGAGAUGCCCUAAAAUGAGUAUAACACAUAGUUAUGCCUAGCUCAAAUAAAUUUAAAUUGAGAUUUAAACUUCCUUUGAGAAUUUUGAACGGUAUGCGGUUAGUUUUAUUCGGUAGCCACAUCUUUUUCCCCCUCUUGCCAUUUGUUCGGUAUAUUUGGUAGCCAUGACCUUGGCCGGGGUCGGGAUUCACGACGACGGGAGAUGUAUGGUGGUUGUGCGAGUGGUGACAUAGCUAGCUAGUGAAAACAUUUACUGUUGAGUAUCGUGAUUAUCAGGAAAGAGGAGAUAGACUAGGAUUUUUUUCUGGCUUGUCUUGUACUUUAAGUAAAUCAUUGUACUCCUAUAUAUAUAUGCCCACGAGGCUCAAGCAAUACAACGAACAACUAUUUCACCAGAUCCCUCUCUCCCUUCUAACAUGGUAUCAAUUUUCGGGUUCUAAAGCCUAGCCGCCGCCGCUUUUGCACCCGUGCACCGCCGCCGGGGCGGUCAGCCUCCAUGACCGUCGCUGGGGGCCGCGCCGCCCAUAUCGAGGGUUCAUCCGCCAGCCGUGUUGGCCGGCUGCCCUAGGGAGCCUUUUUCUCGAGCCCUUGCUUCGGGUUUUUUUUUGCUCUCUCGCUGGUCAUUUUGAUCGGCGUUUUUCUUUUUGAUUUUGAUCUAUGCUUGAUCAGUUUGUGUUGCCCGCCGCCGCCGUCGACACCCCGCGCCUCUACUCCGACACCGGCGCGACCGACCGGCUACUUCACCGACCCGGCGGCAUCGCGCGACAGGCAGCCCUCAAGGCCGUCGUCCGCGCCCUGGCCCGUUUGACGCCCUACGCCGGCCAUCAACGCCCUGCUCCGACCGGGGCACCUGCAUCGCCUACACCCGGCGGCCUCGCGCUAUGCGGCGGCCAAUAGUAGCCGCCGCUCGCGCGUCGACCCGCCAAUCGAUCCACGCCACCCGCCUCCGCCGCGUUUGCACAGCGGCCCGGCGGUCUUCCUCGCUGGCCUCGUCCUCCGCUGCAUAGGGACGGCUGUGUCAGGCUCGUUGGCUGCCUCAACUCGGGCGCCGCUGCUUCGUUGGUCGCUCGGGCCUCGCUGCCAAGGCGCCAACGCUGCUUUGGCAGCCUGGGUGCCGGUGCUGACAAGCUCGUCCGCACGACGUCCCACACCGUCCGUCGUCGCUGACCUCAUCUCGGACUCCGCCGCCACCCCGCCUCCACCGAGGGGCGUCCCCGACCUCGCGCAUGAUCGGCUUGAUCACCCGCUCACCGCUUCAUCUAGGCCGCGCGACCGACCUGGUCCAUCGGUUACGCGCGCCUCCGUAGGCCCCGUGAAGAUCGUCCUUGAGUUCAGCAUGCCCCUCCACCGAUCGAGCAAUGGGCUGCCGUCGCGUCGCCCCGUCGAGCCACAGCGCCACCGCCCCGUGGUUCACCUCGCGGUGCAUCGACUCGCGUAUUGCCGCUGCGUCGCCCCUACAGGCCGUAGUGCCGCGAUACGCGGUCCCAGCCGUCGUCCCGAGGCCGUCCCAAUGGUUGCACCGACGCACGCUCCGCCGCUGCACCGCCACUUCGGGUCGUAGCGCCGCGGUCCCUGCCGCCGCCCCGAGGUCUUCUUGCCGUCGCCCCGACCUGCCCGCCGCCACUGCGUUGCCCCUUCGGGCCGUAGCGCCGCGGCCUGCAGUCCAUUCCGCCGUCACCGCGCGUCGACCUCCCGUGGUAUGCGACACGCCCUCUCCCUGGGCGCGGGAAUGCCACCGUCCGCGUCGGUCUUCGUCACGUUGUCAGGGUUCUUCGCCUACAUCGAGCACCGUCACCGCGCUCCUAACCUAGCCUCCGCCGCCGCCGUCAGGCCGCCGGUGCCGCUCUUCUUUGGCCACCGCCGUUGUCGGUGUCAAAACUGGCAGAUCUCGGGUAGGGGUUCCCGAACAGUGCGUCUAAGGCUAAUGGUAACAGGAGCCAGGGGACACAAUCUUUACCCAGGUUCAGGCCCUCUCUAUGGAGGUAAUACCCUACUUCCUGCUUGAUUGAUCUUGAUGAUAUGAGUAUUACAAGAAUUGAUCUACCACGAGAUCAUAGAGGCUAAACCCUACAAGCUAGCCUAUGAUUAUGAUUGUUGUUGUCCUACGAACUAAAUCCUCCGGUUUAUAUAGACACCGGAGGGGGCUAGGGUUACACAGAGUCGGUUACAGAGAAGGAAAUCUACAUAUCCGAAUUGUCAAGCUUGCCUUCCACGCAAAGGAGAGUCCCACACAGACACGGGACGAAGUCUUCAAUAUUGUAUCUUCAUAGUCCAAUAGUCCGGCUGUCCGAGGACCCCUUAAUCCAGGACUCCCUCAGUAGCCCCUAGACCAGGCUUCAAUGACGAUGAGUCCGGCGCGCAGAUUGUCUUCGGCAUUGCAAGGCGGGUUCCUUCUCCGAAUACUCCAUAGAAGAUCUCGAAUACAAGGAUCAUGUUCGGCUCUGCAAAACAAAUUCCACAUACCACCGUAGAGAGCACAAUAUUCCAAAAAUCUAAUCUGCUGAUAACUUUUCAUAGCAUGAUAUCACGCUACGGCUCGGUCAUUAUUCGAACCGUUUUUCUCAACCUGCCACUUCACAUCUUGCGAGGAGGUUUUAUUGGUACGUCUUGUCGAAGCAGAGAUCAUGUCCCCUUAUCACCGGAUUCUCAUCAAUACGGGUGUGGGUAACCCAACCGCGCCAUCAACACGACGCUUGGGGAAUAAGAUAGUUUAUCGGCAAGUGGGGAGGCGCAUGGUUUCUACCGCCUUUCUAAAGAGAUAAGGAUUCCCCUUUUUCACCCACGCCUUCUUCUUCUUCUGCUCAUCCAUUCUCCCUCCCUCGAGCUCCAGCGCGCAAGUUCUCACCUUCUCCGUAAAGCCAUUCCAAGCAUGUCCGGAGCGGGAGGCAAGUGGAUGGCCUCCUCCGUUAUGGAGGAGGACAUCACGAAGCUUUGGGAGGCCGGAUACCUAUCCGCAAACAUCACGCACAGGCUUCCGGCUGAAGGGCAAAUCGUCCCUACCCCUAAACCUCAGGAGAGGGUAGUGUUCCUCUCUCACUUCGUCCGCGGGCUGGGAUUCCCCCUCCACCCAUUUGUCCACGGACUUAUGUUCUACUAUGGGCUGGACUUCCAUGAUCUGGCCCCCAAUUUUAUCCUCAACAUCUUGGUGUUUAUCGUCGUGUGCGAGGCCUUCCUCUGCAUUACCGCCCACUUUGGCCUAUGGCUGAAGACCUUCAACGUGAAGCCAAAGGUGGUGGUUGGCCAACAAGUAGAGUGUGGGGGCGCCAUGGUGGGCAACAUGCCCAAUGUCACCUGACCCGAAGGCUCCUUUGUGGAGACCAUGAAGGGGUGGCAAUCGGGGUGGUUCUACAUCACCGAGCCGCGUGACACCAACUGGGCGGCAGCCCCCGAAUUUCGAUCCAGCAUCCCCAUGCGGCUCACCUCCUGGAAAGAGAAGGGCUUGGCCUGUGUCAUCGGUGGAGCUGACCGGACUUCAGACCUGCGUCCAAAAUAUGAUAGGCAAGAAAAUCAAGCUUGUCAAUGUGGUCCAGGUCAUGCUCCUCCGCCGAAUCAUUCCAUGUCGGAGACGGGCUUUCAAUAUGUGGGAGUUCGACCCGACCGAACACCAGACACUGUGAGAGCUCUUCGACACGACGCACGAAGACGUCUGGAAGGUGUUGUUCAAGGCCACCGAGGUAGCACCGCCCAUAACCGAGGAUCGCGGACUCAGCGCAGAGCGCCCCGCCAAUCCAGUAAGCUCUUUUCUUCUAUAUUUUGCAAGGUGUUCCUUUCCCCAGCAUAUUCGCGGGAGGAAUCUAAGCCUCCAUGCCAAUUUAACAGGACUGGGUAGCGAUAGCAGAGCGGAUUGACUGUCCAGCUCCGCUACCUGAAGAUCCAGCAUCGCCUCUUCUAACGAAGAUGCUGUUUCCGGCACCCUAUGAGGUGCCGGAGAAGAAGGUCAAGAAGAAGGCAACAGGGACUAGGAAGGGUCUCCGGUGCAAGGUUGUAUCGGACAUGACGUUUGAAGACAUCGAGGCGCACUCCUCCAACGAAGACGAGGAGGAGGAAGAAGAAAUCCCUCCCCCCUCCCCAACCGGGGGGCAAAGAAGAGAAAGGUCGCCCCACAAGGGGAGGCUGGGGCGUCCAAGAAGGGAAAGGCUUUCCUUCCGGACCACUCCACCAUGGCCACCUACAGCGGCGAGGAGUGGCUGCCCAGGGACAAGCCCCUGGCUAAGUCGUAACCAUCCGGACACUUUAAUGCUUCCAGUGUGUUUUGAUUUAUUGCUUCUUAUCAUGCCAAACAUGCAUAUGCAGUUCGGCCACAUCCCACAUCGACGCAUCCUCUUCGGAUGGGUCUUUGGGCCCGUCGGCGAUAAACAGUGAUUCACUCCCGACAGCCUCCUCCCCCAGGCCCAUGGACGACACCGAGGUGUUGUCUCAGAGGAUACCGGACCAGGGGGAGACAGUUCUGGAGACGCCCCAAGGCGAAAUCCAAGAUGCCGGGCACAUGGGAGGGAAGACCCCCAUGGAUUCCGAUGGCGGGGGCUGCAGCAAGUCUGGCCCCCAGCCGAAUGCGGCUCCAGAAACCCAAGUGGUUCCGGAUUCAGGAAGGCAGCCUCUCUCUAAGGAGGGCGAGCCGCCUGUACCAAUGACCUCUGUCCAUCCAGAGGCAUCGGAUAACUUGCUAGAAGCGCUUCGCGACACUUCCAUUGAUGAAGAACACCGUACUCUUAUGAGUUUGGUGAUUGAGAAGGUCCGGUCCGCCAAAAGCGGAUUGACCGAAGCCUGCGCGAGCCUCCUAACAGGCUUUGAGGUAAGUAAUAAAAUUGUAAGAAAGUAUCACAACAUAGACAGUAGCCCAUGAUGCUGUAUUUGGUGUUCGAAAAGAAAGGUCGAACAGAGGAUCAAAUAACAUCCGCAGGAGUCUAACAGAAAAUGUCUAUGUGAAUAAGUAGGCGUCACUGCUGGCCACUGCCGCUCAUACUGCGGAGGUCUCCGGACUAAAGCGGGCCUGGAGUAGACCGAGGAAGAGCUCGGCCGCAUGAAGAGGCAGCUGGAUGAAAACAAAGGUACACAAUACCCCGUCUAUAUAUGUAUAAAGGAAAAAAUUGUUGCUUCUAAGCGUCAUGAAUUUUAAUAGGGGCCACGACCGAAGUGGCGGCCCUUAAAAAGGUGCUGACCGAGGCCGAAGACAAAGCGGCCAAGGAGCGCGCCGAGCGCGAGUAGCAAGAGGCCCGAAUCGAUGAGGUCCAGCAAGAGCUCCAGGAUUUCGUCAAAAAAUGCGAUUCCUUGGAGCGUGACUCUAAGACGCAAGAGUCCGAGCUUGCGAAGGCCCUCCAGAGCGCACGAGACACCAAGGACGAAGCCCAAAAGGCCCUCCAGGAGAUUCAGGCGGCCAAGAAGAUAGCGGCGGGUAAGGCAUUCAUUAUGCAAAGCAAGCAUGUGAAGGAGACUGUCCUUUUACUUACCCGAAUUUGGAGCUCUCCAGGAGCAUUCGCAGAUCUGUCACGCAGCAUAUCUGAUGCCGUAGAGUUCUACCGAGCUGAAGAAGGGAGCUCGACAGAGAAGUUGUUCUGAUCUCAGUAUAUUGGGACCGAACAUCCGAUGCCCUUGAGCGACGAGCUGGAGCAACUGGUCGAACUGCACAAGGCGGCCGAACUGGCCAUGAAGGACCUCAUAGUCCGGAUGUGGCUUGCCUAACCCCUACCCAGCAGCUACUUCGGCCUAGUAAAGCGGCUUGUGAGUGCCUGUCCGCGGCUUGAAGUUAUAAAGUGGUCAGUUUGCAUUGAAGGUGUGCGCAUGGCCUUCGCCUGCGCGAAAGUGCACUGGGCAAAGAUGGAUGCCAAGAAGUUAAUGACCGAGGGGCCGCCGAAGGGCAAGGAGCACUGCCACCCCGAGAAGUAUUAUGAUAGUGUCUUGAAGGGCUCCCGCCUUGUGGCGGAGCAAUGUGCUAAGGAUGUAAUAUUUGAGUGAAUGUACUCAUUUGAUCCUGUAAUAUGAAAACAAGUUCGUUUGCACAAUAUAACGCUUGUUGAUUAAAAUUUUACCUUCUGUGUGGCCGUUUAUAAAAUCUGAGAGUUCGCCAGUCGUCGACUUCUGCCCCCAUGUAACUAGUACCGGGGUGUUCGAUAUAAAUCUAAACAUUCUUUAUCCGUUUUUUUGUCCUUUAAGGAGGCGUUUAGUGCAACGACAAGGCAAUAAGAUUAUACGGCUUUAUCACUCUCACUUAGCCAUAGAAGUUAUAUAAUUUUAAAUUUUGGCAUAGCCCCUGGUAUUCGGAAGGCCGAACUUGGGGCGCUAUACACGCCUAAAUCGGACAAGGCCGAUUCCUCGCCCGAAGCAGAAAAAAUCUUUAAGGAUUUGAAACCUCUCGAACAGCGACUAGCUCUCGCCGCAUCAUGACAGUCAGUUUUCGGCUUUCUCUACUGAGGUGCUCGUCUGGAAGAACCAGGACACAAUCGCAGUAGUUGUCCCUGUGCCACCUUAGCCGAUAUAGCGGAACGUAAGGCAGCAAAACAUGGGAGCCGGGGAAACCCAACUAUUGACCCAAGACAUGAUUCGGAGUUGAUGCAUAUAAUGCUAUAAGUUCGGGGUGCUGCAUUGUCGAAAGUGUUCGGACUUUUCCUGCCGUGUUAUGGGGUACAUUGAAGCCCUUGGCGAUCUGAACGUACCAAAAUGUACGGGUGCAAUUUGUAAUAAAUAAACAGACAAGGAAAGAGAUAAAGAAAUGUAAUAAUAAGCUGACGUUAUACAUUAUUUUCCAUUGUUAUGUGAAUAAUACGUCAAGGCGCAUGUAUACAAGUAGUGCAAUAAGCACAAUAGGACUAUUUAACAUGUCCAUAACCAAGGGCGAGCUGCGUGUGGGUAUGUAAAAUAGGUAUAGCGAUCGUUAUCAGAGACCAGCUGGGGAUUCCCUUGUACGUCAAAGCUCCUUGCCUCCUUGGUGUUUCCGUCCAGUGAUGGGUCCGAUAAUCAGGCUAUCGGAAGAGCCUCCAGAAAAUAGGGACCUGAGAACAAAGAAAAGGGGGAAGGUGUACGGGUCCUGGGGCGGUUGAGCCACAUUAUGGACCGCAUUGUCUUUAUGUGAACUAGAUUAUUGACUCUAGUGCACUAGAGUCAAUACUAGUGACACUAUGUUGUCUAUAUAUUCACACAUGUAUUAUGUUUCCAGUUAAUACAAUUCUAGCAUCUAUGGUGGAGGGAGGCACCGCACACGGCUAAGAGAUCAAGAGAUCAAUUGUUGUCUCUAUGUGGUGCCCCCUCCCCCGUAUAUAAAGGAGUGGAGGAGGGGGCCGGCCAAGGGGGGUGGUGCGCCCUAGGGGGGGAGUCCAACUCUCACCGGGAGUAGGACUCCCCCUUUUCCAAUUAGGAGAGGGAGAGGGAAGGAAGAGGAAGGAGGGAGGAAGGAAAGGGGGGGGCGACCCCCCUACCAAUUCGGAUUGGGCUUGGGGGGGCGCGCCCCCUCCCUUGCUCCUUUCCCCGCCUUUCCACUAAGGCCCAAUAAGGCCCAUAUACCUCCCGGGGGGUUCCGAUAACCUCCCGGAGCUCCAGUAUUGUCCCAAUCUCACCUGGAACCUUUCGGGUGUCCAAAUAUAGUCCUCCAAUAUAUCAAUCUUUGUCUCUACCAUUUCGAGACUCCUCGUGAUGUCCGUAAUCACAUCCGGGACUCCGAACAACCUUCGGUACAUCAAAACUCAUAAACUCAUAAUAAAACUGUCAUCGUAACUUUAAGCGUGCGGACCCUACGGGUUCGAGAACUAUGUAGACAUGACCGAGACACGUCUCUGAUCAAUAACCAAUAGCGGAACCUGGAUGCUCAUAUUGGCUCCUACAUAUUCUACGAAGAUCUUUAUCAGUCAAACCGCAUAACAACAUACAUUGUUCCUUUUGUCAUCGGUAUGUUACUUGCCCAAGAUUCGAUCGUCGGUAUCUAAAUACCUAGUUCAAUCUCGUUACCGACAAGUCUCUUUACUCGUUACGUAAUGCAUCAUUCUGUAACUAACUCAUUAGCUACAUUGCUUGCAAGGCUUAUAGUGAUGUGCAUUAUCUAGAGGGCCCAGAGAUACCUCUCCGAUAAUCGGAGUGACAAAUCCUAAUCUCGAAAUACGCCAACCCAACAUGUACCUUCGGAGACACCUGUAGAGCUCCUUUAUAAUCACCAGUUACGUUGUGAUGUUUGGUAGCACACAAAGUGUUCCUCCGGUAAACGGGAGUUGCAUAAUCUCAUAGUUAUAGGAACAUGUAUAAGUCAUGAAGAAAUCAAUAGCAACAUACUAAACGAUCAAGUGCUAAGCUAACGGAAUGGGUCAAGUCAAUCACAUCAUUCUCCUAAUGAUGUGAUCCCGUUAAUCAAAUGACAACUCAUGUCUAUGGUUAGGAAACUUAACCAUCUUUGAUUAACGAGCUAGUCAAGUAGAGGCAUACUAGUGACACUAUGUUGUCUAUGUAUUCACACAUGUAUUAUGUUUCCGGUUAAUACAAUUCUAGCAUGAAUAAUAAACAUUUAUCAUGAAAUAAGGAAAUAAAUAAUAAGUUUAUUAUUGCCUCUAGGGCAUAUUUCCUUCACAUAUAUAUAUCAUAUGCUGAAGUGGCUGUCCAGCGCCCUGUGGGCGGUGGUUCUUGUUCUUCUCCGGCGUCGUCGUCCAUACUGUCGAUGUCUUUGGAGUCGAAAUCAAGCAUGUCGGUUAAGUCGUCGAUAGUGGCUAUUAAGUGGAUGGUGGGUGGGGAACGAAUUUCUUCAUCGUCCGCUUCCCACUCAAGCCGGACAUAGUUAGGCCAAGAGUCUCCUGACAGGGAGAGAGAUUUCAACGAAUUUAGCACGUCGCCCAAGGGCGAGUGCUGAAAGAUAUUCGUGGAGGUAAACUCCAUGAUCGGCACCCAAUCAGGUUCAGUGGGUGCAGAUAUACGCGGUUCGGAGCCUGCAGCCGGCGACGAGUCCAAGGGUCCGAUGACACAGACCUUAUUGGAGGCGAAGUCUGUGUUCGGCUCUACCGCCGAUGAGUGUGCAGCCUCCGUGGUGGGGCCUAUCCACCCGUCCUCGGAUGGCACGAUCUGCUCCAGAUUAAGAGCUGGGGCAGCUGCAGGUGCAAUCUCCCGAACACCGUCCGAUGGCAGAUCUAAGUCAUGCUCAUCAUGACUGUUCGGCGCACCUGUCAUGGGCUUGAAUCCAUCGAAGAUCAAGUCUCUGUGGAUGUCGGCGGUGUAGUUCAGGCUUCCAAACCUGACCCGAUGGCCAGGGGCAUAGCUAUCGAUCUGCUCCAGAUGGCCAAGCGAGUUGGCCCGCAGUGCGAAGCCACCGAAUAUGAAGAUCUGUCCGGGAAGGAAAACCUCACCAUGAAUCGCAUCGUUGUGGAUGAUCAACGGAGCCAUCAAGCCUUAUCGUGACGACACAGUGGAACUCUCAAUGAAAACACCAAUGUCGGUGUCAAAACCGGUGGAUCUCGGGUAGGGGGUCCCGAACUGUGCGUCUAAGGCUAAUGGUAACAUGAGGCGGGGGACACAAUGUUUACCCAGGUUCGGGCCCUCUAUAUGGAGGUAAUACCCUAUUUCCUGCUUGAUUGAUCUUGAUGAUAUGAGUAUUACAAGAGUUGAUCUACCACGAGAUCAUAGAGGCUAAACCCUAGAAGCUAUCCUAUGAUUAUGAUUGUUGUUGUCCUACAGACUAAACCCUCUGGUUUAUAUAGACAUCGGAGGGGGCUAGGGUUACACAGAGUCGGUUACAGAGAAGGAAAUCUACAUAUCCGAAUUGCCAAGCUUGCCUUCCACGCAAAGGAGAGUCCCACCUGGAAACGGGACGAAGUCUUCAAUAUUGUAUCUUCAUAGUCCAACAGUCCGUCAUAAGUAUAUAGUCCGGCUAUCCGAGGACCCCUUAAUCCAAGACUCCUUCAGCCGACACUACCCCCAUAGCCGCCGCAACCGCCCGUCCACCUCCUUCGUCUUCGUCCAGCACCAGCCCGUCAUCAGCGUCGCCGUCAUCUUCCCCGACCACUUCGUCUACUCCGACCACCGUUGGUGACAUUGGCCUCGCGCCGAUGGACGCCACACUCAUCUUCGAGUUUUUCUCUGUUGGCCCCUCCGACUUCUCCGACAUGGCGUACAGCUCAUGCAGGUCCCAGUCUCCGCAUGCCUGGUGCUGGCAACACCGAUGCAUGCCUUCAUCCACGACGUGUCCCUGGGCCUGGCCAGCCUGGUCGGCACUUCCUUCGACUUCGUCUUCGUCCACCUAUGCAUGCCCGGUGCUGGCAACAAUGGUGCAUGCCUUCAUCCACGAUGUGUCCCCGGGCUUGGCAAGCCCGCCGCGAAGCGUCGUCAACAACAUCUUCUUCCCGGUGCACCACUACUUCGACACCACUGCGCCCAUGCUAACUCGGCCCCCCUUGCGCCCGCGGUUCCACAUCGACUUCCUCGACACCGGCCACCCCGACUCGACAUCGACCACGACAUUCUUCACACGGCUACCUCGACCACGGCUACACCACUCACGCGAUCGGCUACAUCGACAAACGACACAAAGGGCUAUCGCCUGAUUGAGCAACCUCGUCGGUUUCCACUCCAGCCACAACUCUGCGAUGCAUCGACCGUNNNNNNNNNNNNNNNNNNNNNNNNNNNNNNNNNNNNNNNNNNNNNNNNNNNNNNNNNNNNNNNNNNNNNNNNNNNNNNNNNNNNNNNNNNNNNNNNNNNNNNNNNNNNNNNNNNNNNNNNNNNNNNNNNNNNNNNNNNNNNNNNNNNNNNNNNNNNNNNNNNNNNNNNNNNNNNNNNNNNNNNNNNNNNNNNNNNNNNNNNNNNNNNNNNNNNNNNNNNNNNNNNNNNNNNNNNNNNNNNNNNNNNNNNNNNNNNNNNNNNNNNNNNNNNNNNNNNNCUCCAGUCUCACCGUCUGCGUCGCUACCGUUGUGACUGCGGGGGAUGUUGAGUAUCGUGAUUAUUAGGAAAGACGAGAUAAACUAGGAUUUGUUCUAGCUUGUCUUGUACUCCAAGUAGAUCAUUGUACUCCUAUAUAUAUGCCCACGAGGCUCAAACAAUAGAACAAACAACUAUUCCACCAGAUCCCUCUCUCCCUUCUAACAUUUACGUUAUUUGAACAGGUGACCAACUUUAUAUUUCCCCGCAACCAAGGUGAUGAACGAAGACGAACCAACAUGUAGUUGGAUGGUUAGGAGGAUGAGAGUAUUCUUGGCCCACUCGGGUUUAAGUCUCAGUGGGAGAAGAUGUUCCCGUCGACUACAAGACGGCUACGGUGACUUUGAGUGUAUGCUUGUAUAUAUGAGUGUUUAGAGCAACUCCAACGGGGCGACCCAUUUCGUUGGCCGCCGUCCGUUCGGGUCUACGCGGACAAAAGUGGAGGCCCAACGCGCCGAUCCAAACCCAAAACGCGUCCGCUUCGCGUUCGCGCCGACGCAUUUGCGUCCCAAAUUUGCGCCCCAAAUGCAUCAGCACGGAGGCGGAACAGACGCCGCGCGCGCCUUCUUGACGUCCGCCGCGGCCCCACCUGGCGGUUGCUCAACUACCCGCCCUCUCGCGGGUCAGCUUAAUUUAUGACCCUGAGCCCACGCAUCAGCAACGGCGGUCGUCCUUUUUUAAGCCGACCAUGUGGCGGGGCCCUCCUCAUCCAUUUUCCGUCCCCAUCGAGGCCAUGCUCGCUCCGCCGUCGCUGGCAAGACAACCCUAGCCACCCCAGCCGCCCAAAUGGGGCUCUUCUCCGGCAGCAGCAGCAAGCCGAAGGGCAAGGUUCCCGUCGUCCCCUUCCCCAUGGAGUUCACCCCGCCUCCGCCUGCGCCUGCUUGCCGGCAAAGGCAGCGGGUGAACGUGCCCGUGCACCAGGCGGAGUGGCACUGGCACCACUGCGUGCUGCUGCCGUACCCCGACGUGACGCUGCCGCACGACUGGCAUCUGAAUCCGGAAAGGAUCCCAGUGUCGGCGGCGCCGCGGUCGGCUAGGGAGCAUGCGGAGGAGGUGCAUCGCCGGCAGGCGCUCCUGACGCGGGAGCAGCGCCGCGAUGAGGCGUACGCCUUCGACUCGCUCAACUGGGCGCGCUGGUUCGCUUCGAGCACGAGGGGGCGAGGCAGCGCGACGUGCGGAGGUCGCCCACAGUGUGCCGCCGCCGCCGCUCAUCAUCAGGGAGGAAGACCAGGCAGCACGGGACGCCUACCAGGCGGCCCUUGCGGCCGUCUACCGGGAGAGCGAGGAGGACGAGCGGCGCAAGGCGGAGGCGGCAGAAGAAUAAGAAGCUCGGUACGAGGCGGCCAUGGUGUAGGCCAUGGCCCUCUCCGCGGCCGGCGACUGCGUGGUGCUGCCGGUGGCCCCGCCGUCCCCUCCCCAACGCCUCGUCAAGGCCGACCCGGAGCCGCAGCCACAACCGGAGCCGGAGCUGGGCUCCACCGCGAGCUUCUCCUGGACGGGAAUGGUGCGCGAGUGGGUGUCGGCGCCACCGGUUUGGAUGGGGGCGACCCCCGGCGCAGGAGGCGGCAUACCUCGAGCACGGGCGCCAGCGACGGCUGGCUGAGGAGCGGUGUCAAGGCGAGUACGAGGAGAUGCUCGAGCGCGACCUCGAGGAGGAGGCGCGCGAGACUCAGGAGNNNNNNNNNNNNNNNNNNNNNNNNNNNNNNNNNNNNNNNNNNNNNNNNNNNNNNNNNNNNNNNNNNNNNNNNNNNNNNNNNNNNNNNNNNNNNNNNNNNNNNNNNNNNNNNNNNNNNNNNNNNNNNNNNNNNNNNNNNNNNNNNNNNNNNNNNNNNNNNNNNNNNNNNNNNNNNNNNNNNNNNNNNNNNNNNNNNNNNNNNNNNNNNNNNNNNNNNNNNNNNNNNNNNNNNNNNNNNNNNNNNNNNNNNNNNNNNNNNNNNNNNNNNNNNNNNNNNNNNNNNNNNNNNNNNNNNNNNNNNNNNNNNNNNNNNNNNNNNNNNNNNNNNNNNNNNNNNNNNNNNNNNNNNNNNNNNNNNNNNNNNNNNNNNNNNNNNNNGCCGACACUGCCCCCGCCGGAAUAGCUGCCCCCGGUCUACAUCGCCGCCGCAUGGGCCACGGCGUUCCCCUGGGCCGACCCUCCGCCGACGCUCAUCGACCUCACUGACCCCGAGGACGACGACGACGACGACGCCUAGGGUGCGUUGGACAGCGCGCCGCCUCGUAGUUAGGUUGUUUUUAAAUUUUUUUUAAUGCUAUUGUGGACGCGUGGACUCUCGCCGGCCUUCCUGGUCGGCUUUAAUGUUUAAUUAAAUUAUUUUCAGUUGAAAUAUGCAUGCACAGUUUUUUUUUUGUCGGCACCGUCAAAAUGGGUCGGGCGCGCGUUGGGCGCAUACGCCGACCCAAACGCGAAAGCGGACGUCCGUGUCCACCCUGACCGAUCAAAACGGAUAAAAAGCGGACGAAAUCGCUGUCCGUUUGGGUUGGCCCGUUGGAGUUGCUCUUAUGUUUGUAGUGUGUUAAAAAGAAAAGUUGAUCAACCAAGGAUUUGCAGCGAACUACUCGCGGAAUUGGGUUGGACGAAAACAGGGAGCGCCCACACAGAUCUCCAACAAAACGGAGGGCACACUCACGCACAUGCCCCUACGUGUUAUCCUACGCACGAACACGCUCCUUGGCUCUCUCCCAACCCCGAUCGAUCUUUAUCCAGUUGCGGGGCAGUGGUCAUCAAAAAGUAUCAGAGGCGAGUCACGUGGAUUGGUUUUUACUAUAUGCGGGCCAUCUGUGCUCUGCCGCGUCGCCCACCUUACGCUCGUCUGAAACCCACGGUCCCCGCACGCCGGUUUCGCGGUUUCUUGCAGCCUAUAAAUCCGGCCGGAGCACCCAGCUCUGCCACAUCCCAUCUCACACAACCUCUACUCAUCUUACCUGACACACUUCACUUCCUUCGGAUCUCGUGCCACCAAGCUCUGCUCCCGCCAAGAUGUCGACGGUGACCCGCGCCUACCUCGACCAGAGGCUCGCCGCCGCCAAGCGCUGCUCCAAAGGUAACGGUUCGGGCCUCAGGCCAGCACUGCUCUGCUCGUAUAUCCCACCCAUUGCAGCCUAUGCUUGUGCUGAAACCUGACCUGGAUUAACAUUUCCCUACGUUGAUCCGAAACUGCAGAGGCUGCCAUGGCAGGAGCCAAGGCGGCGGCCGUCGCCACCGUCGCUGCCGCAGUGCCCACAGUAAGUAGCCGUUCAGUUCUUCAGUUCCAGAGUUCAUAGCACAUAUCUCAUGAAUGCGUCACCUGUAAUUUAAGCUGGCGAGCGUGAGGAUGCUGCCGUGGGCGAAGGCACACCUGAACCCGACCGGGCAGGCCCUCAUCAUCUCCACCGUCGCCGGGAUGGCCUACUUCAUCGUGGCCGACAAGACCAUCCUCUCCAUGGCCAGGAAGCACUCCUUUGAGGACGCGCCGGAGCACCUCAAGAACACCUCCUUCCACUAAUUAGACUAUAAAAUAGAUCCAUUAGUAGUCCGUAAUAGUCUGCACGCCGGACUGGAAGUGUCUGCUGAAAGAUGGUAUUGUAAUGUUCAGGCAGCACUU
rnacentral:lncRNA from 1 species